AUACGGAGGAUGCGAGCGUUAUCCGGAUUUAUUGGGUUUAAAGGGUGCGUAGGCGGUUUGCUAAGCGGGAGGUGAAAUGCCGGCGCUCAACGUCGGAAGUGCCUCCCGAACUGGUGGACUUGAAUGACUCUGCCGUGGGAGGAAUGUGUAGUGUAGCGGUGAAAUGCUUAGAGAUUACACGGAACACCGAUUGCGAAGGCAUCUCACGAAGGGUUGAUUGACGCUGAGGCACGAAAGCGUGGGGAUCAAACAGGAUUAGAUACCCUGGUAGUCCACGCAGUAAACGAUGAUGGCUAACCGCUGGGCUUAUCAGUUCAGUGGCCAAGCGAAAGCGAUAAGCCAUCCACCUGGGGAGUACGACCGCAAGGUUGAAACUCAAAGGAAUUGGCGGGG
rnacentral:rRNA from 1 species